UCCUUGAUAGCUCAGUUGGUAAAGAAUCUGCCUGCAAUGCAGGAGACCCUGGUUCGAUACUGGGUCGGGAAG
rnacentral:tRNA from 1 species